rnacentral:rRNA from 2 species
AAACGACUCUCGGCAACGGAUAUCUCGGCUCUCGCAUCGAUGAAGAACGUAGCGAAAUGCGAUACUUGGUGUGAAUUGCAGAAUCCCGUGAACCAUCGAGUCUUUGAACGCAAGUUGCGCCCCAAGCCUUCUGGCCGAGGGCACGUCUGCCUGGGCGUCAC